UCAGUCGUAAAAUGGCGGUUAAUGUAGUUACUCCUGAACUUCUACAAGACACUACACACCACAGUGCCCAUUCUAUAAUGUCAUGUAACACUAUGGUCUUGUGACCCUAAUGGCAAAGAGUCAUGCUGACUCAUUAAUUGCAUUAGAUUUACAUUUCCGGGCUUGUCGAACGUUCAUCCUGGUCGAUUUAGGUUUAGGCAAAAAAGAGCUUGUGCCACCAAGUCAUUACGGUCACAUCCGACCGUAGUGUUAGUGUUACAUGAUUUAGCCUACUUCGAAGUAGUUUAAACCUACUACAUAAAAUUACCGGUCCCAUUUAAUUACAUUAAUUUAGUAGACGGUCUUAUCCACUGUAACUGCGACGCUUAGGAGGACACACGCACACACUUUUUUAUUUUCUUUGGACAAGCCACUGAACAGUUAAUUGAGACAAGUCUAUUUUUCAUACAGUCUGAGACAAACUCACCCUGGCCUGGGGAACAAGAUGCAGGGAACGGAAGUACGAGCGGAAGAACUGGAUUUAAUGGCGGCAGUUUGAAAACUUAUGUUUUUAAAUUUUAUUUUGUGUUACUGUGUACAAUAUUUUUUUGGGCUUGAGGCCCAGUUCUUUUUCUGAUUACAGUAAUGAAGGGGGAAGUGUGUGGAUGGAUCUUCUGGGAAAGAGAAAACCGCUGUGCAAUCUGAAAAAUGCAGUGGAGGAGUGACGGUUUUGCACAUCCUGGUCUCCGUUUGUUUGUUUGUUUUAGUUAUUUCUCCCUUUUGUUUUGACGUGUUUAUUUUACAUUUUUUGCGUACUUGCUUUUAAAACAACUGAACGAACUCCUCCGAAUUACAAUGGAGAGAACAAGGAAAGUGCCUGGCCCUUGGAGAAAGUCCAAAGGCUGGGCUUGAAUGGGCCUCUGGACAGCUUCUUACACCGGCGCAUAUAUUUGCUGCAGAGAGAGCCAGGGAGCUUCCCCUUCGCCAGGCCCAGCCCAGAGCCCUCCACUGUCCGCACACGAAUGUUCUGAAGCACACGAACAAUAGUUCUAGACACGGACGGUUGUCCCGCGAGGGAGGAGUCCAACCCCCUGCUUACCCGGAGGUGCAUGGGGCUGACCUGCAGCCUGCCGCACAUGUCCAGGAAGUGGGGGACGCCCCGGGCGUCCAGGAUGAUGUAGACGGCCACGCUCCGCUUGGCCGCGGCGUCCAUCAGGUCCUGCAGGAUCUGGAGGUCGGUGAGGAGGUCCAUGACCAGCGCAAUCACCUGGAAAGCAGAACCGGAACGUGGUAAACCGGGCCGGCGCUGAUCGGCACCCAUCUGGACCAGACUGCCGAACGACGCCAGCUUGGGGUAAGGCUGACGGGCAGUAGGGUUCACUCCGAAAGUGGCCAUUUUUGACAGUUGCUUAGAAACAGCAUGGCCACAACCACAUUGUGUCUGGUGGCGGCUGCUUAACCAGAAGGGGCUGCAAUGCAUCCGUAAAUGAAACAUGUUCAUUUGCUCAGCAGACAAGCUUCUCCAGAGUGACUCAUAGUCACUGGGUUAAUUGAGGUGCUGCGAUGAGAACUCCCAGGAGAUUUAACUUGGAGAGAUUGAGAGCUAACAGCACUUUUGACAGCCGUACAGCUGGGGCUUCCCUACCUGGGAGAAUAGCGCUCGAGUCAGUGCUUCAGACUGCUGCCUCAACCUGCUCGCUUUCCUCCAGGCACUUUCUCCCCGUGCAGCUGAUCUGGGACCAGGGUUUCAUGCCUGUAUCCAAAUCACAGCUGUUUUCUGAGAGUGCUGGACCCUUAUACAGGACCAGUGCUUUGGUACACUCUACCCCCGCACUCCUUUGAUCCAAGGCGUGCCCUGCCAAACUGGCAUACUCAGGCCUGCUAAACUGAACCGUUCAGAUUUGAGCGUGCAAGUCUUGUGCAAGUCGCGUGACUACGCAUCUGAUUUAGUUCCAGGAACCGAUGUGGCACAAAUCGGAACGGGAAAGGUGUGACUCUGUUGGAUUUCAGUUUUGCCGUUUGCACUGUACUAAGAGCGUCAGAAUGGUGUCACGCGCAAGGGAAAGUCAUUUGGAGUCGGGCCACUCUCAGACACAGUCUGUACGUAAGCCGCGGAGUCCCGCCCAGUGCUAGCAGGAAAAACCCGUAAACGGGUGACUCAGUUUGGGCUCUACGUCGCGUUGUGCCCGAGAGCUGGGGACAAACCAGAACUGACACGAUUCCAAAACGCUUUAGGGGCUUAAAGCCAAUGACAAGGGAGAGAAAAAAAACGGCUGCCAAUAACCUUUAUAAUUACCUAAAAAAACUUGUUAUGUUAAAAUGCCACAUGCCGUUAAGCGUUUUUUUGCCUCCUGAACGUUUCCUCCGGUCUCUGAUUUACUUUUUGGGAUACCUUUCCUUGCGUCUACCUGCACAGCAUAUCGAGGCGGUACUGUAAUAAUCGGAGAGAAACAACACGUUAAAUAAAGACAAUGAGUUGCGCGCAUGCCCAGACAAAAAGUGAAAGCAAAUACAUCUGUUGUCAUUAGGUUUAGUUUGAGCUGAAAACGUGGAACUGAUUGAUGAUGAUGUUGUUUUCCUAGGCCAUUUUAUGUGGCCGUACUGGAAUGUAGCUUAGCAGCUCUUCUCAGUGAACGCAGCAAUUUCGCAAACGCAUCUACUUUGAUAUUCAAGAAUUUCCAACUAUAAAAGAUAUCAAUAAAGCUACAAAACAGAUUUUUGUGUGUGCAUGUAUGUGAGUGGAUACCAUGCUUGUAUUUUCGUGCUAAUGUGUGUUUGUGCAUGUGUUCAUAGUUACAAUUUGUGUGUGUGUGUUCAUGUUUAUCUAUGGAUGGGUGUCUUCUAAAAUUAAACAAGUCUUGUUUUUUUUCCAAUAAAGCAAUGAAAUGCA